UGACCAGUGUCCUUGUACUUGUCUCCUCAUCCCCAUAGUCUAUUCUGCACACAUUAUUUAGAAUGAAUUUAUAAAAAUGUAAGUCUAACGAUGUAAGUCUUUAUGGCAAAUUUUCAACUACCUAUCUCACUCAGUAAAACGUGAAGGUUUCCCUGUGGUUCACAAGUUACUAUAUGAUGAGGCUCCCAUGUACUCCUCCAAACUCACAUCUUCCUAUAGUUCUUUUUAGUGCCUGUUGCACCAUAAUACUGUUCUGCUUUAGCCAAGCAUGAACAAUGCAAUCUACAAAUGAAAUCUGGUUUAGGCCAGGCAGGCCCAGGCCUGGUUUCGGGCCUGGUGCUGGGCUGCCUGUCUUUGGUUUUACUUUCUUGUUGUUUUUUUCUUAAAACAGGUACUGAGUAUAAAACAAUAUAAAACAAUAUGAGAGGGUCUCUCUCUUCCCUCAUUUCCCCCAUUUGAGACUCUCACUUUUUAUUAGGGGAAGUUCUCACUCUUAUUUUUGCUACUUAUGUCUUUUUGUGCAAUAGAUCGAUAGUGAUUUAUAUAGUAUGCUUGUGCUGAAGCAUUUUGGUGAACUAAGGUAGCGACAAAGUUUUUUACCAUUUGGAGAAAUACAGGUGUCAGACAAGGGAGCAGUAAGCAAGUUCCUAUUACUAUUAUUACUCUUAUUGGAAGAGUUUUAAAUCUUCUUAUUGCUGGGAACCAAUUUCCAAACAUGGCUCUUGGAUUGAGUCCGUGCCACACUUGCACGGGUACAUGUGCCAGUUUUGUUAUAUCUUUAACUAUGUCUUUAACUACUUGCCUUUGAUUAUCUAUGUGUAGACAGUAAUUAGUAAGGUUAAAUUUCUUAUAGACCUCUCUUUUAGCUGCUAGCAAGUAGUCGAGAGCCAAUCUA
rnacentral:lncRNA from 1 species